UAAGGAAUAUUGGUCAAUGGACGCAAGUCUGAACCAGCCAUGCCGCGUGAAGGAUGAAGGUCCUCUGGAUUGUAAACUUCUUUUAUCUGGGACGAAAACGGGAUUUUUAUCUCAAUUGACGGUACCAGAGGAAUAAGCACCGGCUAACUCCGUGCCAGCAGCCGCGGUAAUACGGAGGGUGCGAGCGUUAUCCGGAUUUACUGGGUUUAAAGGGUACGUAGGUGGGCUUAUAAGUCAGUGGUGAAAUCUCCGAGCUUAACUUGGAAACUGCCGUUGAUACUAUAGGUCUUGAAUUAUCUGGAGGUAAGCGGAAUAUGUCAUGUAGCGGUGAAAUGCUUAGAUAUGACAUAGAACACCAAUUGCGAAGGCAGCUUACUACAUAUAAAUUGACGCUGAGGCACGAAAGCGUGGGGAUCAAAC
rnacentral:rRNA from 1 species